UUUCCAAAGCUAUACAACCA
rnacentral:snRNA from 1 species